rnacentral:rRNA from 1 species
UGUCGAUGAAGAGCGCAGCCAACUGUGUGAAUUAAUGUGAACUGCAUACUGCUUUGAACAUCGACAACUUGAACGC